rnacentral:lncRNA from 1 species
GGCCGCGCCUCGAAGUUUCAGACGGGUUUACACUGUUAAGAUAUAUACCAUAUUUACGUUGUAUAAAUUGGUGUUGAUUAGAAUUUCUGAUUUUAAGAUAUUUUAUUUUAAUAUAAUUUAUAAUGGGGUUUGAAACAUGUGGACCUAAUGAGGCAAUGGUUGUUUCUGGAUGUGGGCAAGAGCGUCCUCUAUUAAUAUCUGGAGGUAGAAAGUUUGUUUGGGCUGGAUUACAAAAGGUUCAAAAAAUCAGUCUUAAUGUGAUGACUUUGAAUGUUGAAUCUCCUCGUGUUUAUACACUUCAUGGUGUACCAAUAUCUGUGACUGGUAUUGCUCAGGUGAAA